rnacentral:rRNA from 1 species
AGAGUUUGAUCCUGGCUCAGAAUCAACGCUGGCGGCGUGCCUAACACAUGCAAGUCGAACGAGAAAGUUAUCUUCGGAUAGCGAGUAAAGUGGCAAACGGGUGAGUAACGCGUGGGACAUCUACCCUGAUGAGGGGAAUAACUCUUCGAAAGGAGAGCUAAUACCGCAUAUACCGUGCAAACGGGAAAGGCCUUCGGGUCGCAACAGGAGGAGCCCGCGUCCGAUUAGCUAGUUGGUGAGGUAAUGGCUCACCAAGGCGACGAUCGGUAGCCGGUCUGAGAGGACGGACGGCCACACUGGGACUGAGACACGGCCCAGACUCCUACGGGAGGCAGCAGUGGGGAAUUUUGGGCAAUGGGCGAAAGCCUGACCCAGCAACGCCGCGUGGAGGAAGAAGGUUUUCGGAUCGUAAACUCCUGUCCCACGAGACGAAGAAAGUGACGGUAUCGUGGGAGGAAGCCCCGGCUAACUCCGUGCCAGCAGCCGCGGUAAUACGGGGGGGGCAAGCGUUGUUCGGAAUUACUGGGCGUAAAGGGCGCGUAGGCGGCUUCGGAAGUCAAGGGUGAAAGCCCCGAGCUCAACUCGGGAACUGCCUUUGAAACCACGGAGCUGGAGUGUUGGAGAGGAAAGCGGAAUUUCCAGUGUAGCGGUGAAAUGCGUAGAUAUUGGAAGGAACAUCUGAGGCGAAGGCGGCUUUCUGGACAAACACUGACGCUGAGGCGCGAAAGCUAGGGGAGCGAACGGGAUUAGAUACCCCGGUAGUCCUAGCUGUAAACGAUGAACACUAUGUGUGGGGGGUAUAAAGUCCCUCCGUGCCGUAGAUAACUCGAUAAGUGUUCCGCCUGGGGAGUACGGCCGCAAGGCUGAAACUCAAAGGAAUUGACGGGGGCCCGCACAAGCGGUGGAGCAUGUGGUUUAAUUCGACGCAACGCGAA